GAAUUCUGAUGUCCGAUUACCCAUCGGAUUUGGACUCAAUAUUUAUGAGAGAUUUAAUUAGUGAUUUGAUCACUAAUUAACUCAAUUUUAUUGAGUAAUUAUUUUUGGAUCAAGUCCAAUUGAAUUGGAUUCAGUUGGAUUUGACCCGAUUAGGUUAAGAGUUGACCUAAUCGUCGAGAUGGUUUGAUCCCUGAUUUGAUCAGGGGUUGGGCUUAAUCAAUUCCUGAUUUGAUUAGGAUUUUAUUGAGCCUAA
rnacentral:lncRNA from 1 species